UUUUUUUUUUUUCUUUUUUCUUUUUUGAGGGAAGGUCUCAUGGACUCAAGGGAGGCAGGGGCCCCAAAAGUAACCACCUUCAGUUCAUGGUGUCCUGUCUCCAGCAAGGAGAAAGGAAAGGGACUGUGUUUAAGAUUGGAUACAAAGCAAGCCAAGAACAGGGUACUGGCAAUAUCCAUUUUUAUCCAUGGAUUGUGACUGCAGGAGACAUCUCUGAACCAAUUAUUUACAUGUUGUAUUUACUUGUGUUGUGUGUGUGUGUGCGAGACAAACACACAACACACACACGCACACUUUUCUUCAUAAUUCUUCAAAAAAAUGUUGAGACCAAAGUUUAUAUAAGACCCUGACAGUUGGGGUUGGGGAUUUAGCUCAGUGGUAGAGUGCUUGACUAGCAAGUGCAAGGCCCUGGGUUUGGUCCCCAGCUCAGAAAAAAAAAAAAAAA
rnacentral:lncRNA from 1 species